UGUGGCUCAUCCAGUACUGGUCAAGGAGUAUGGCACCAGAAUAUUUUUAUAGUUAAUAGCAAAGGCUGUGUUGGGAUUGCUGAGCUGUCUUUGUUUCAACAGGCAUUUCUUGUGCCGGUGACAUUGGUAACAGCUGAAAAGAAUUCAUCUCCUUGGUUGACUAAGCAGAGGAUGGUUACCAGAACUGACCUUUCUGGAGGCUGGAGUCUGAGAUCAAGGUGCCACCAUGGUCAAGUUCUGGUGAAGGCCCUCUUCUGGGUUAUAGACCGUGGACUUCCAACUGAAUCUUCAGAGGAGAAAGGUUCUAUAAAGAAGGCAAAGAUUUUGAAGACCCUUAUAGACAUUCACAGUGCAUCUUCCUAAAAGGAUUUGGAGACUCUUCAACAACCAAAGGAAAAACACCAAUGAGAAUCAGGAUGCAAUUCCAGACAGAAGAAGAGAAAGUUACCUGAUUGGUGUGCCUGGAGAACUGGGCAUUCCCAACUUAGCACCCCUCUCUACCUCGCUAAGAUCUUACUGUCUGCAGAGAACCUGUGCGCUGGUCUGCUGUUGGCUACAAGGUAAGUGUAAUGUUGGAAACCGGGGAAAACUGCAUUCAGGUGGUGAGAGGUGCCUAAGCCACUUAUAACUCCAAACCCAAGCCGUGUUUUCCAAACUUACU